UUUUCUUUUUUUUUUUUUUUUUGCAUUAUAAGGAUGAUUUGCCUUACUUUCUCAAGACCAUAAAAAAUAGAUGGCAGAUGUUUCAAUCCAAAUUUCAGGCUGGAGAUAUUUAUUUAGCUGUCUAAUGCAAGUGCUCAGGUCCUAUCCUCUAUUUGAACUGUUAUGUCAGAGGACUUGGUGUUUCUCUUCCAAUCAAUGCUCUUGCUUGGAAUUAGUAUUGGAGUUGCUUUCAAUGUGGUUUUGCUUUCGACUGAUAAAAGAUCAAGACAAAUGAAUAGGUUAGGUUGGUCACAGCCUCGACCUUUAUGGGCAUGGUGCAUUAACAUGGGAAAGCGAUUCAACAUGGUUUUGGGAAUCACCCAAGGGCUUCUUUAUCUUUACCAAGAUUCUGUAUUUCUAUUUCACAUAAAUUUGCAAUGAAAUGUUUCAGCUUAAGAUCAUAGUAAAAAUUUUACCAGUGCAUCUACCAAUAUUUAUGGAUUCUACACUGUCUGUAUAUGAAUAUUCAUAUUGGCCUUCGUGGAAAAUUUUGUUUGUAGGUCAUUAUGCUUAUAAAUAAUCAUUCCAUUGAAUGGUCCAGUCAUAAAUUUGUGCCUAUUUCUAUUUUAACUGCCUGAUGUAGCAUGUAUAACUAUUGGCAUGACCAUGAUAAGGCUGAUAAUUGAUUUUUGGUAAUUGUAAUGAUGGUAAUCAAUAGAUAAAUGGUCCGUAUUACUGGGCUAUGGGCUCCACUUGUCAUUGUUGAAUACCUGUGUAUACUGGAUUGGUGGCCUCCUGAGAAAUGUGACUAUGGCACUUGCAGCUGGAGUCUUGCUUCCCUUCACUCUGGUAUCACUUUUCCUCAUCUCAUGCAUUCAUGUAUCUAUGCAUGUAUGUGAAUGUGUAAUGAAUUUGAAAGUUGUGGGUUUUAAUUUCUGCGUUUAUAUGUACAUAUGAAUGUGUAUGUAUGUACGUGUGGAAAUUUGCAACUUUUGAGUGUUGAGGUUAUAUACAACAAUGGAUUCUGAUUUGGGUUUUCAAUAUUUCAAUGUGGUUGUCUUCUUUUUCAAGAGGUUGUUUGAUUUUUUGUGGAAUUUGAUUGAUGAGUCUGAUUUAAAUCAUGAGUUUGAUAAUGGGUCUAUAAUCUAAUGCCGUUUUCCGCAUAAUCUGUUGGGGUGAAUGUUUUUUGUAUUUAAUUUUUGAAAAUGAUUUGAAUGAUGGAUUUGGUACGAGUGUUCUCAACCUGGUAUUUAAUUGUUGUUUUCUAUUGGCUCCAUGUUUGGGGAGGUGUAAAUUUGGGAGUUUGCUGGUUUGAGACGGUAUAUGAGAAUAAAUUCUGAUAUGGGUUUUUGAUAUUUCAAUGAAUUUCUCUGCUUAUUGUGGGGUUUUCCUUUUAAUUGUGGUUUUAUUUACUGUUUAAUGGAAUUUGAUUGACUGGAAUGAUGUAAAUGAUGGGUUUUAUAAGGGGUGUUUAUAAUGUAAUAAUGUGAUUCUCUUCUUAAUCUGGUCUUAUUUUGCUCUGUUUUGUUACCAUGUGAGUUUGGAAUAUAUGUUUGUAUUUAAUCAUUGGUAGUGAUUUGACUGUUGGGUUUCAUACGACUUUUCAGGUUUUAAUUUGCUUUAUUGCAAGUUGGUGAUUGACAAUGGUAGUUGCAGAAAUUAUAUCGAAGAUGAUGUGGAAAAUUGAAGAUAAAUGUCAAGAGGCUUUGUCAACCUCACCGAGUGGCAUGGUUUCAGUAUGAGAACAAAAUCAACUUGAAUCAAACAGUGUUUGAUUCAAGCCAAGUCACUAGGAAACUCGUUCACGAGUGUGAUUAGGUUCCUUCCACAGUUGUCUUUCUGCUCUGGUAUUUAGUGUUUAUUAAUGAGAUCGUCAUCUUAAAAGGAAAAAAAAAGUGUGUGACUAGGUCCCUGGUCAACAAGACUCAGUUGAGUCAGCUAACUGAUGUGGUCUGCUCAUUGCAACUCGUGGUCGCUCACAUUGAGUCACAUGCUACGUGAGCUGAUUUUUUAUUUGUAGAAGCUAGUAGCAGGUUCCAAACUCAUGACCUGUGCUGAGGGUGCAAAAAUCUAUAACCAGCAAAUAAUAGGAUGUACCUCAUGUUCCUCAUUUGCUCUCUUUUAUCUGUUUGCAUGUGUAGGCCAUUAAUCAGGAAUUGCUUGUCAGAUUUUAUGUAUUUAUUUAUUUUUAAGUUGCUUAUCAGCCAUAUGAUGCAUCAACCUACAAUCUGAAUUUUUCCCAUUUUUUUUCCUAUCUAACAAUAUAAUCAUUUUCUUUUCUUUCUUUUGCUAGCUUCGAGAUGGCUCCUCACAUCAGGGUACUGUUAUGUUAAUGGACCCAAAUGAGGGGAGUUUUGUGCUGCAUUCUGAAUCUGAAAAGGGUGUCUUUAUGGUACUAGGAGCUCUUUGGAUGCCUGGUUCGAUGAAAGGGCAUUUUUCGGAAACCUGAUGAAGUAUUGAGGUGAUUCCUUCGAGUGUUUUAAGAAACAUGACCAGCAAAACCACUAAAGUACGGUUUGUUUAUUGUCCGCAAUGUCGGAAGCUUCUAAUAGAGUUGAGCAAUAUUCCUGUUUACAAGUGUGGUGGAUGUGGUACCAUUCUCAAAGGGAUUAUACCCUGGAUAUCUCAUAUUCUUCGUUCAAUCAGUACUAAUGAUUGCUGGUUCAAGAGACACAGGUGGACUGGUAGAUAUGAAGCUCACCUAUGGGACAAUAGUUGUAGGAGAGAAGGACAGACUCACAAGGGUCUGUCAUUCUCAUUAAUUUCGGGAAAUUUCUAUUUGAUAUUUUCUUUUUCGAAUAAAUCUAGGUUUCGUUUGUAUUGACAUUUUCCUAUUAUUUUCUUGUCAUUUCUCAUGUUCUGGAUGUGGGUCUUCUUCAACUUGCAUGCAGUUUAUUUGGGUAAGCAAAAGAUUUGGCAUCCUAACUCUUUUCAUUAUCUAUUUUGAAUCAUUAUAAGGUUUCCUUCUUCCUUGCUGUUUAGCAUAUAUGUAUAUUGAGGAAUCAAGAGGUUUUUUUUUUCUUCUUCUUGUUUGAUUCUUUGAUUAGGUGGUUAUAACAAAGAAGAGAAGGCAGCUAGGGCUUAUGAUUUGGCUGCUCUCAAGUACUGGGGUUCAACUACAACCAACUUUCCUAUAAGUUGCAUUUUUUCCCUCUAAUUAAAGAAGGGGUGGCUUUGAUUUAUAUCUCAAAAGGUUUCUUUUCUUGCACAGAUAACUAAUUAUGAAAAGGAGUUGAGAGGAGAUGAAACACAUGACUGGGCAGGAAUACGUUGCAUCUCUUAGAAGAAAGAGCAGUGGCUUUUCUCACGGUGCUUCUAUAUAUAGUAGAGUCACAAGGUAUGGUAUGCCUGGUAAUUUGCUUUAUCCAUAUAUUUGGUUAUUAGCUUCACAAGAAUAAGAUCUUCCUGGAGAUUUAUACCGGUAGUAAUAUGUUGAUUUUGUUAAUGAGCACUACUCUCAUGUUCCCACUGGGCCUAAAUAUCUUCCCUGUCCAUUGAUUGUGGGGUGAAAAUCCUAUGAUUCCAUUGACUUGUCAAAAAAGUG